ensembl:lncRNA
AAAAGGACCAUAAUGCUGUAAAAGCUCCUCAGGUUGUGCCCUUCCCUCAGUGACACAUCAUCUUCUGAUUGCUGAGGGAAGGACCGUUUGUGUGUGUCUGGAUUCUCAGAUAAAGCCAUGACGGUGAACAUCUGCCAAUAUGUGUUCCCGGCCCUGGUGGUGUCCAUCGCCGCGGUGCUCCUCUGCUUCUAUGUGCGCGCCAGGAGAAAACGAACCGCCGUCGCCACGGCGCCGCCGCCAGGCGCCGGCUCCCCUCCGGGGCUGAGCACGGUGUCGCGGCCUGACGGUCAGACGGAUGAGGAGAGACAUUACGACAGGUUCCCCCCUCGGUACAGCACUGUGGACCCCCCACCACCGUACUCACUGGUGGGUUCGGAAGACUGCGGAUCUUCUCAUCUGACUCUGGAGCAAAAAGCCAAUCUUUCCCCAAAAUAACUAUUCCCACGUUAAAAAAUGCCGUGUGUUCUUUUUAAAGUUGGAAUUGUGUUGACUUCCCUUUUUAUUUCGUUGCAGUUUGACCCCAAGCUGACGGGCGUCUGGCCGGGGGGCUCGCCCCCCGCCUACGAGAUGUACCCGAUAACGCUGCCUCUGGCUCCUCAUCACUGGGCGACAUCCACAGGACGUCCGCGCCCGACCUCGCCGAGCCCCCGCGGGCCCCCCCAGCCGCAGCGCGCCGCCACCAGCUAACGUCGUCGCGUCCGGGUGCUUCUGCUGCACUUUUAACU